UGGCGGCCAUAGCGCCGUGGAACCACCUGAUCCCAUGCCGAACUCAGAAGUGAAACGCGGGUAGCGGCCGAUGGUAGUGUGGCAUUCGCCAUGCCGAGAGUAGGACACUGCCAGGCU
rnacentral:rRNA from 1 species